CCUACGGGAGGCAGCAGUGAGGAAUAUUGGUCAAUGGACGAGAGUCUGAACCAGCCAAGUAGCGUGAAGGAUGACUGCCCUAUGGGUUGUAAACUUCUUUUAUAUGGGAAUAAAACGUUCCACGUGUGGGAUUUUGUAUGUACCAUAUGAAUAAGGAUCGGCUAACUCCGUGCCAGCAGCCGCGGUAAUACGGAGGAUCCGAGCGUUAUCCGGAUUUAUUGGGUUUAAAGGGAGCGUCGGUGGAUUGUUAAGUCAGUUGUGAAAGUUUGCGGCUCAACCGUAAAAUUGCAGUUGAAACUGGCAGUCUUGAGUACAGUAGAGGUGGGCGGAAUUCGUGGUGUAGCGGUGAAAUGCUUAGAUAUCACGAAGAACUCCGAUUGCGAAGGCAGUUCACUGGACUGCAACUGACACUGAGGCUCGAAAGUGUGGGUAUCAAACAGGAUUAGAUACCCCUGUAGUC
rnacentral:rRNA from 1 species